rnacentral:rRNA from 1 species
CCUACGGGAGGCAGCAGUGGGGAAUAUUGCACAAUGGGGGCGAGCCUGAACCAGCCAAGUAGCGUGAAGGAUGACUGCCCUACGGGUUGUCAACUUCUUUUAUAAAGGAAUAAAGUGAGGCACGUGUGCCUUUUUGUAUGUACUUUAUGAAUAAGGAUCGGCUAACUCCGUGCCAGCAGCCGCGGUAAUACGGAGGAUCCGAGCGUUAUCCGGAUUUAUUGGGUUUAAAGGGAGCGUAGAUGGGUUGUUAAGUCAGUUGUGAAAGUUUGCGGCUCAACCGUAAAAUUGCAAUUGAUACUGGCAGCGUUGAGGACAGUUGAGGUAGGCGGAAUUCGUGGUGUAGCGGUGAAAUGCUUAGAUAUCACGAAGAACUCCGAUUGCGAAGGCAGCCUACUAAUCUGCCACUGACAUUGAUGCUCGAAAGUGUGGGUAUCAAACAGGAUUAGAUACCCUGGUAGUC